rnacentral:rRNA from 1 species
GAUGAACGCUGGCGGCGUGCCUAAUACAUGCAAGUCGAGCGAACAGACGAGGAGCUUGCUCCUCUGACGUUAGCGGCGGACGGGUGAGUAACACGUGGAUAACCUACCUAUAAGACUGGGAUAACUUCGGGAAACCGGAGCUAAUACCGGAUAAUAUAUUGAACCGCAUGGUUCAAUAGUGAAAGACGGUUUUGCUGUCACUUAUAGAUGGAUCCGCGCCGCAUUAGCUAGUUGGUAAGGUAACGGCUUACCAAGGCAACGAUGCGUAGCCGACCUGAGAGGGUGAUCGGCCACCCUGGAACUGAGCCACGGUCCAGACUCCUACGGGAGGCCGCAGUAGGGAAUCUUCCGCAAUGGGCGAAAGCUUGACGGAGCAACGCCGCGUGAGUGAUGAAGGUCUUCGGAUCGUAAAACUCUGUUAUUAGGGAAGAACAAAUGUGUAAGUAACUAUGCACGUCUUGACGGUACCUAAUCAGAAAGCCCCGGCUAACUACGUG